rnacentral:lncRNA from 1 species
GGCAUUCAAUCUUUUCUAAAGUUUUCGAUUUUCCUCCUUUGCCCAGAUACUCAUGUACCAAAUUUUUGACCUUGCAUGCUAUGUGUGAGUCUACAAGCUAGGCUGGCUCCUAAGAAUGCAUGAUGAAUAAGUUGAUUAAGGAUUCAGAUCCCGAUGGGACAUCUCAUAGAACAUCGAGGUUGAGUAUUAUCCCAUAUGUCUAGACAGAAUUAUCCCGCCAUCAUCCCAGCAUCGUAAUCGAGAUAUUUUGGGACAGUCUCUAUCCCAAGUGUCGGAAUGGGAC